rnacentral:rRNA from 1 species
CCUACGGGAGGCAGCAGUGAGGAAUAUUGGUCAAUGGACGCAAGUCUGAACCAGCCAUGCCGCGUGCAGGAAGACGGCUCUAUGAGUUGUAAACUGCUUUUGUACGAGGGUAAACGCAGAUACGCGUAUCUGUCUGAAAGUAUCGUACGAAUACGGAUCGGCUAACUCCGUGCCAGCAGCCGCGGUAAUACGGAGGAUUCAAGCGUUAUCCGGAUUGAUUGGGGUUAAGGGGUGCGUAGGCGGUGUGAUAAGUUAGAGGUGAAAUCCCGAGGCUCAACUUCGGAAUUGCCCGUGAUACUGUUCGGCUAGAGAGUAGGUGAGGUAGGCGGAAUGUAUGGUGUAGCGGUGAAAUGCGUAGAGAUCAUACAGAACACCGAUUGCGAAGGCAGCUUACCAAGCUACUUCUGACGUUGAGGCACGAAAGCGUGGGGAGCAAACAGGAUUAGAUACCCGUGUAGUC